rnacentral:rRNA from 1 species
GAUGAACGCUGGCGGCGUGCCUAAUACAUGCAAGUCGAGCGAACAGACGAGGAGCUUGCUCCUCUGACGUUAGCGGCGGACGGGUGAGUAACACGUGGAUAACCUACCUAUAAGACUGGGAUAACUUCGGGAAACCGGAGCUAAUACCGGAUAAUAUAUUGAACCGCAUGGUUCAAUGGUGAAAGACGGUUUUGCUGUCACUUAUAGAUGGAUCCGCGCCGCAUUAGCUAGUUGGUAAGGUAACGGCUUACCAAGGCAACGAUGCGUAGCCGACCUGAGAGGGUGAUCGGCCACACUGGAACUGAGACACGGUCCAGACUCCUACGGGAGGCAGGAGUAGGGAAUCUUCCGCAAUGGGCGAAAGCCUGACGGAGCAACGCCGCGUGAGUGAUGAAGGUCUUCGGAUCGUAAAACUCUGUUAUUAGGGAAGAACAAAUGUGUAAGUAACUAUGCACGUCUUGACGGUACCUAAUCAGAAAGCCACGGCUAACUACGUG